rnacentral:rRNA from 1 species
UACGUAGGGUGCAAACGUUAAUCGGAAUUACUGGGCGUAAAGCGUGCGCAGGCGGUUAUAUAAGACAGAUGUGAAAUCCCCGGGCUCAACCUGGGAACUGCAUUUGUGACUGUAUAGCUAGAGUACGGCAGAGGGGGAUGGAAUUCCGCGUGUAGCAGUGAAAUGCGUAGAUAUGCGGAGGAACACCGAUGGCGAAGGCAAUCCCCUGGGCCUGUACUGACGCUCAUGCACGAAAGCGUGGGGAGCAAACAGG